rnacentral:rRNA from 1 species
CCUACGAGGAGCAGCAGUAAGGGAUAUUGGUCAAUGGGGGAAACCCUGAACCAGCAACGCCGCGUGAGGGAAGACGGUUUUCGGAUUGUAAACCUCUGUCCUCUGUGAAGAUGAUGACGGUAGCAGAGGAGGAAGCUCCGGGUAACUACGUGCCAGCAGCCGCGGUCAUACGUAGGGAGCGAGUGUUUUCCGGAUUUACUGGGGGUUAAGGGUGCGUAGGCGGCUUGGCAAGUCAGUAGUGAAAUCCAUGGGCUUAACCCAUGAACUGCUAUUGAAACUGGCGAGCUUGAGUGAAGUAGAGGUAGGCGGAAUGCGCGGUGUAGCGGUGAAAUGCGUAGAGAUCGCGAGGAACACCAGUGGCGAAGGCGGCCUACUGGGCUUUAACUGACGCUGAGGCACGAAAGUGUGGGUAGCAAACAGGAUUAGAUACCCGGGUAGUC